CGAACUUGCGUCGCCCGCCAGCCAUCGUCGCGUCCGAACAAUUUUUGACAAGGCGUCUCGCAUUGUCGGGCAGACGAAACUCCGGUCGUCCAAUCAGAGAGCAGGAUUCACCCCACGUGGUACAAACGCGCCAAUGCCGCGCGAGUAUUUCCUCUUUUUCGGUGGCGUGCAGCUCCAUAGUCGCCAGACCUAGAGGUGUUUUCUCGUUAAAAACGGAAUGUAGAAGAAUUCAGCUCUCGAAUGAUUCCAAAAUGGCCGCGCUGCGGCCAACGGUUACCGCAGACGACGGCAUCGAAUUUGCCUGUUUUCGGGGGGCGUUUUCGAGCGAAAGCGAUCAUGAAGCUCUCUUUAGAGCGCAAUAACAAAAUAAAUACUCGGCGGAACGCGUUAAUAUCGCAGCAAUAGAUUCUUUAGGACGUCUAGAUUGCGAAAAAAAAUAUUUCAAAAAGUCGAUUUUUUGGCGAUUUUUUGUUCUAGAAGACCCGUGUCUCCCCUUAAAGCGAUUUCCGUUUACUGAGAGUCUGCUGUAUAUGUUUACA
rnacentral:lncRNA from 1 species